UAAAAAGUAUAUUGUAGUAUAUUUCAUUAUAUCCUUCCACCCCAAACACCAUUUCCAUUGCGUUCUUUUUUUUCUUUUUUCUUUUUUCCCCUAAAGCAAUAGGAGUGGACGGUUCAAAGAUGCCUAAAGAGUUUACUCCCUGAUUACACUAAGCAACGAGAAAAGUAAUAUGAAGAAAAUUGGUUGAUAUUGUAAAGACCAAUGCCCCAACGGAAAAACUGGUGAUGAGAGAAGCAUAACAACCAAAGGGCAAAAAACAAAUUAGGUUAGUUGGCCAAAACUAAUUGCAUUCGUUAGCCAAAAAACGCCUAAAAUAUAUGUACAUUUGGCAUAUAACACACAUACAAAAAAAAAGGAGUUAAACCUACACCAUGUUCUUUCACCUGUAGGGUGUGUGUGGCUUCUUGAAAAGUACCACAUCCUCAAGACCGUGUAAAUUACAUUAGUAGCAGAGGCAUUUCAUAAAAAGUAUAUAUAUAUAUAUAUAUAUAUCACUUUGUUUGAAAUUUGCACAAACAGAUACGCCUAGCUAUCUACUACUAGCAAGUAAAUAACCCAAUAAAUAUGUUUGCUUGGCUUAUCCAUAAACAACACGUUACUCUUCUAACAGAAAAAAAAAACAUAGCUUGCAGGAAAUUCAUUGAACAUGAUCGGAAGGACAUUUCCA
rnacentral:lncRNA from 1 species